rnacentral:rRNA from 1 species
UACGUAGGGCGCAAGCGUUGUCCGGAAUUAUUGGGCGUAAAGAGCUCGUAGGCGGUUUGUCGCGUCUGUCGUGAAAGCUUGGGGCUUAACCCCAAGUCUGCGGUGGAUACGGGCAGACUAGAGGCAGGUAGGGGAGAACGGAAUUCCCGGUGUAGCGGUGAAAUUCGUAGAUAUCGGAAGGAACGCCGGUGGCGAAAGCGAUCGACUGGACCUUUUCUGACGCUGAGGCGCGAAAGCCAGGGGAGCAAACGGG